rnacentral:rRNA from 1 species
CCUACGGGAGGCAGCAGUAGGGAAUAUUGGGCAAUGGGCGCGAGCCUGACCCAGCCAUGCCGCGUGCCGGAUGAAGGCCUUCUGGGUUGUAAACGGCUUUUCUCAGGGAAGAAAAAGGUGAUGCGUCACAAACUGACGGUACCUGAGGAAUAAGCACCGGCUAACUCCGUGCCAGCAGCCGCGGUAAUACGGAGGGUGCAAGCGUUGUCCGGAUUUAUUGGGUUUAAAGGGUGCGUAGGUGGCCCGUUAAGUCCGGGGUGAAAGCCCACAGCUCAACUGUGGAACUGCCCUGGAUACUGGCGGGCUUGAGUCCAGACGAGGUUGGCGGAAUGGAAGAUGUAGCGGUGAAAUGCAUAGAUAUCUUCCAGAACCCCGAUUGCGUAGGCAGCUGACUAGGCUGGUACUGACACUGAGGCACGAAAGCGUGGGGAGCGAACAGGAUUAGAUACCCUGGUAGUCCACGCCGUAAACGAUGGAUACUCGCUGGUGGCGAUAGACAGUCACUGGCUUAGCGAAAGCGGUAAGUAUCCCGACCGUGGGAGGUACGCGCGCGAGAGUUAGAACGUACAAGUUAGAAGUUAGACGGCGUGAGACGNGCCGACGGACGACGACGAGGGAGGAGG